CACGCCGUAAACGAUGAGUGCUAGGUGUUGGGGGUAUUGACCCCCCCAGUACCGCAGCUAACGCGUUAAGCACUCCGCCUGGGGAGUACGGCCGCAAGGCUAAAACUCAAAGGAAUUGACGGGGGCCCGCACAAGCGGUGGAGUAUGUGGUUUAAUUCGACGCAACGCGCAAAACCUUACCUGGGUUAAAUCCACUUGAACCUGCCAGAAACGGUGGGGUGCCUUCGGGAGCAAGUGAGAAGGUGC
rnacentral:rRNA from 1 species